rnacentral:rRNA from 1 species
UACGAGGGGGGCAAGCGUUGUUCGGAAUUAUUGGGCGUAAAGGGUGCGUAGGCGGUCUGACAAGUCUGAUGUGAAAUCUAUGGGCUCAACCCAUAGUCUGCAUCGGAAACUGUCGGGCUUGAGUAUGGGAGAGGUGAGUGGAAUUUCCGGUGUAGCGGUGAAAUGCGUAGAUAUCAGGAGGAACACCGGUGGUGUAGACGGCUCUCUGGACCGUAACUGACGCUGAGACACGAAAGCGUGGGUAGCAAACAGG